rnacentral:rRNA from 1 species
GACGAACGCUGGCGGCGUGCUUAACACAUGCAAGUCGAGCGGAGCGGCGAACGGGUGCGUAACGCGUGAGUAACUGCCCCCCUCUCUGGGAUACCAGUUGGAAACGGCUGCUAAUACCGGAUAGUGGGGGAUGACUCGCGUCCUAUCAGUUUGUUGGUGGGGUAGUGGCCUAGCAAGGCGACGACGGGUAGCAGGCCUGGGAGGGCGACCUGCCACAUUGGGCUGAGAUACGGCCCAAACUACUAUGUGAGACAGCAGUGGGGAAUAUUGCACAAUGGGGGAAACCCUGAUGCAGCAACGCUCGUGCGGGAUGACGGCCUUCGGGUUGUAACCCGCUUUCAGCCAUGACGCGGUAGUGGCAGAAGAAGCACCGGCUAACUACGUGCCAGCAGCCGCGGUAAUAC